ensembl:lncRNA
CAAAAAUAGUGGCUCACUGUGGUUUUCUUUUCUCGUACUAGGCUUCUGCAUGACUUUGUGUUUCUCUGCCACUUAGGUUGAGUGCAAGGGCAAUGAAGAAGGGUAUGAGAAGUUAUGGAUGCCCCACGCAUGAAAUUAAGUGUUCAAGGCCAGACUGAAUGGGGCUCCGAGCAACUUGAUCUAGUGGAAAUUAUCCCUGCCCGCGUUAGGCUGGAUUGGAAAGAGACCACGGACAAUGAGAUGAGCAGAUGACCAUCCCUGCAAGUCAGAAAUAGGACAUGUGCUAUUCAAUGGGGAGGAAGAAAGGAAAGAAAAAAC